ACCCAAACAUCCACCAUCUACCAAAAACAUCUACUGAUCUAAACUGUUUAAUACCUGUUGAUCCACUAAUCCUAUCAAUCCAUGUAAAUAAUUGGUGUAAAAUACAGUUUAUCAUCUUCUCGUGGUCAUCAGAUAUGACCC